rnacentral:lncRNA from 1 species
UUUAAAAACACUUUCGAAAAUGGAUUCUAACGUUGCCAGCAAAAACCUUUUCAAAACACUUUUUAAAAACUUGAAUUUCCGAAACCAAAUAAUUUAAAACCUGAAAGUUUUAAUAACAGAUUUAAAAGAAACCACUUUAACCCCCUAAAACAGGAUCGCAUCCAGGUUACAGUAUUGAAAUUAGAAUCAACCAACCUCAUCUCUGAUGUAUAACUUAACCACUUAGAAUCCUUGCCGCUUAGCAUCACUCUCAUGCGCAGCCUAAUCAGAUAAUCCAUCUCUAGCCUUAGCUGAAAGGUUUAGAGUUGAAAAGCAAGGAUGAGCUAAAAUGCUCAGCAAGUUUUUGUAGUAAAAUAGUUGUAUGAAGGUAGUUUGCAAGGGUAAGUUAUCAAAUGCUCAGCAGUACCAAUAUGAAUAAACAAGAUAUAUGAUCGUAAAACAGUUUAUAAGAGCAAGAGCAUAGCAAUCAUGCAUGCUUUGAGUAUAAAGCAGUAACCAUCAUUGAUAUAAGAAAACUGGAAAUCAACUUUUAUUAGCAUGCUCAAAAAUGUGAUAAUCAUAAGUUUUAGUUUCAAAAUUUCAUCACUAGCAUGCCAUAACAGGUUUUUAUCUUAAAACGAAUAUCAGAUAUAUUGGACGCUAACAGGUGAAGAUAGCUGAUCAGUCUAUCAACACCGGACGGCUCUAGUCGGCCAUCACGAAAUAAUGUUCCGGAACCUAAAGACUAGCUAGGUCUUUAGACGCUGGACUAGGUGGUUUCACAGUGUACACAACCACACUAGCCUCUUACGCCACCAUGCUGGGCCGUUACCGAAUAACGGACCUCUUACGCAGCUCCAAAAGAAUAUCUGAUCCAUUUCCAGUUUCCAAUUUGAUUUGUAUCCAUCCCAUUUUCAAAAUCAUUACAUGGUAUUCAUGAAUCAAUACCAUGUCUCAAAGAAUUAUAUCACAGGUUUAGCAAUGAUAAUCACUAAACAUUUUCAGAAUUUGAAUCUCAUCCGGGAUAGAUAUUCACAAGUUACUAUUCCCCUAAAACAAUUUAAAAGAUAUUAAAUCCAUAGAAACAGGGGAAUACGUACUUAAAACAUUUAAUAUCUGAAUCAUUUGACAAAGACAUGCAUUCUUGCUCUACAUUAUCCAUAUAUGUAAUCUGAACCAGCAAGAGUAUUGUCAGGGGUACUUGCAAUAUAUCAAGGAAGUUCCAGAGUACUUGCAAUAUAUCUAAAAGAAGGUUUCAAGAUACUUGCAUAAUAGGAUUUGAAGAAAAUUUCACUUGAACAAUAAGUGAAGAUAGGGAUACUUGCACUUUCAAAUAUACAAGAGAGGAAUGUGAAUACUUGCCUUUGGUCCUUAGCUUAUACACUCUUAGCUAACAUUCUUAUCUUAUUCUGCUUUCUCAAGACAUCACCCUCAACUAUUCCUGAUUUUCUGUUAUGGCGCUCAUGCGGUUGCUGCAGCUUGAUACGAAAUCUUAUCUAACUUCAGUCUUGAUCCCCAACGUCUGGUUCUACUCGUCUCGAACAAUCCGUAACUACAGAACCGCUAUACAACUCUCCCCUUUUCUUGCCUUUGCUUGGUAUCACGCCUUCAAUGCUCGAUCCUAUUAUAAGCAAAAAGAUACUACUUUAGUAUCCUUCCGAAACGACUAUCCUAUUUCUACCCUUUCGCGAUAUAUAUAUACACAACACAUUAUAUAGCACAUAACAAGUUGCACACAUUAUAGUUUUAUAACUUAAAACCCACUCAGAAUAUUAUUUAACACGAGAACGCGUCUUAAGUUAAUAUUUCUACGGAAAAUUCGGCAUGACCUAUUCGUAAAUAGGACUAUCCCCCUGUUUUCAAAUCAAUCCAAUCAAGCUCUUUAACCAAAUAAAAUACUAACAUAAAGAAAAUCUGCCUCGACAUGCAGUAAAUCACAUAAGAAAAGUACCCGCCCCGACAUGCGGCACCUAACACAUAAUGAUAAAUAAUCCGCCCAGACAUGCGGCACCUAAACACAUAAUGAUUGAAAGAAACUAACAGCUUACCUUUAAAACAGAAAGUAAUUCAAUAUUAAUACAUUAUACUAUCAAGAAUAACACUCUGACAUUUAACACGUAGCACUUAGCAGGUAUCACAUAUUUCCAUACAUUUACUUACCACUUAUCAUAAUACUCAAUUUAGAUACUAUUCAAAUCAAAUAUAUACAAGUUGAAUUAAAUAAGCAUAGCACUAUAACUAUUUAAGAUAUCGCAUAUUUAUAUUAUUAAUAUUAUUAUUUACUAUUAUUACUACUAGUGCAAGUAAUAAUAAUAAUAAAGAAUAAUACUAAUAUUUAUUAAUAUUCGACAUCCUAAAAUUACCAAGUAAACACAGUUUCACACAUUAAGAUCAAUAAUAAUGCUAUGUAUUACUGCUAUUACUAACAAAUCACAUAAAUAUUAUUUAUAGAUUUUAUAGAAAUAUCACGAAUCAGUAACUAUAUAAAUUCGAUUAAUAGUCCGAUAAUUAUAGGAUACACUCCCGUAUAAUUUAAAAAUCUAAAUUUUAUUUGAAAAUCGGGCAGCACCUCCUCUAUUUGUCGGACUACCAGUCGAUAUCAUAUCGACACCAACAGUCACAAUCAAGCCUGCAAUCAAUCCAAACAACUUACUUUACAACUAAUAAUUAAACUCGAUACUCAAUCAAAUGACCCAACAACCGAAAUAAUAAAUAAAAGCGUAUCGAGAAAUCCAUAUCAAGACUCGAGCCACCCGCAUAAUUUACACAGCCCAGCAAUCAACACACGGCCAACUCGGCCCCACACGAACUCACCCGACACACACACUCGAAUACACAGUAUACACACGCUGCACACACUCUUACACGCACAAAAUACACGCGUAUAUACACGCAACACAGCAGCGAAACAAGGGGGAAAAAACAGGGAAAUCGAGGGAGAGAAACCAGAGCAAGAGAGAGAUG